rnacentral:rRNA from 1 species
CGGGUGAGUAAUGCGUGACCAACCUCGCCCCAUGCUCCAGAAUAGCUCUUGGAAACGGGUGGUAAUGCUGGAUGCUCCAACUUGACGCAUGUCUUGUUGGGAAGUGUUUAGUGGCAUGGGAUGGGGUCGCGUCCUAUCAGCUUGUAGGCGGGGUAAUGGCCCACCUAGGCUUCGACGGGUAGCCGGCCUGAGAGGGCGGACGGCCACAUUGGGACUGAGAUACGGCCCAGACUCCUACGGGAGGCAGCAGUC